AUUGAACGCUGGCGGCAGGCCUAACACAUGCAAGUCGAACGGUAGCACAGAGAGCUUGCUCUCGGGUGACGAGCGGCGGACGGGUGAGUAACGUCUGGGAAACUGCCCGAUGGAGGGGGAUAACUACUGGAAACGGUAGCUAAUACCGCAUAACGUCGCAAGACCAAAGUGGGGGACCUUCGGGCCUCACACCACGGGAUCUGCCCAGAUGGGAUUAGCUAGCAGGGGGGGUAAUGGCUCACCUAGGCGACGAUCCCAAGCUGGUCUGAGAGGAUGACCUGCGACACUGGAGCUGGGACACGGUCCAGACUCCUAGGGGAGGCAGCAGUGGGGAAUAUGGCCCAAUGGGCGCAAGCCUGAUGCAGCCAUGCCGCGUGUAUGAAGGAGGCCUUCGGGUUGUAAAGUACUUUCAGCGGGGAGGAAGGCGGUGAAGUUAAUAACUUCACCGAUUGACGUUACCCGCAGAAGAAGCACCGGCUAACUCCGUGCCAGCCGCCGCGGUAA
rnacentral:rRNA from 1 species